rnacentral:rRNA from 1 species
AACGAACGCUGGCGGCGUGCCUAACACAUGCAAGUCGUGCGAGAAAGUUCCUUCGGGAGCGAGUAAAGCGGCGCACGGGUGAGUAACACGUAGGUAACCUGCCCCCCAGUCUGGAACAACUAGAGGAAACUCUAGCUAAUGCCGGAUGAGACCACGAUCCCUUCGGGGGUUGCGGCCAAAGAUGGCCUCUACUUGUAAGCUAUCGCUGAGGGAUGGGCCUGCGGGCCAUUAGCUUGUUGGUGAGGUAACGGCUCACCAAGGCUGUGAUGGCCAGCUGGUCUGAGAGGAUGACCAGCCACACUGGGACUGAGACACGGCCCAGACUCCUACGGGAGGCAGCAGUGGGGAAUAUUGCGCAAUGGGCGAAAGCCUGACGCAGCGACGCCGCGUGGGUGAUGAAGGCC